UUUCGGAUUUUUCCAAUCGUUCGUUGUACCACAUGCUCGAUGAAGCUUGCGGUCAGGCGCAUCGGAUCGAAUCUCCUCCUCUGCGCGGGGCCGAAUCAACACGGUAGUCGCGCCAACACACGAAUCUUCCCAGCAAUUUCCAUCCCCGGGACGCCGCGGCAUCUUUCGAGUUCGCGCUGUCGCAGAGCGUAAUCCCAGGUUUCUACAUAAACCCACGCUCCUUAAACCCUGAUUUUACAGCAACAGUCUCCCCAGCUCUCUGAAUCUUCUCGGGGGAAGAAGGGAAAUGAAUCGCCGAGCUGCGGAGGCGCCCGUUUCGGCUCGUGACGGGUCGAGCUUGUCCAGAAAAUUAGCGGGUAAGAAGAGCCGGAGUCCAUCAUUAAGCUGCUUGCUCUGGUUCUUUUCGAUUGGAGGGACUGUUGGCAGAUGUAACGCGACAACGGGAAGGCUUUGACUGAUAAUUUACGUGUCAUGUUUUGCCUCUUAUUGCUGCAGUAUCUGCCUCUUUGGAGGGGGAUUUGAGAAUGUCUACAUGUCAGACCAGCAAAAAACCUAGAAGGAGUCAACCUUCAAUCCAGUAACGAUGUAACCGAAUUGAGCAGGCAACCUUUGAGUUUGCUGAUUUUGUCCACAAAGAGGGUGUCCCUGCACAUGCUGAAACUUCUUUCUUUUGCCCUUCAUUCUAUGCAAAUAAUGUUUCUCACAGUUACCACAAUAGCGUAUUGUUCGCUCAAAUUGUGUAAUGGUGUACCAGAAAGGCGAUGACACAGGUGGGGUUUAUCAUACAUGGAGCAGAAACAACAGUGGUAGCUUCCAAAAGCUGAGCUCAGUUACUAAAUUCCAAGCACAAGAAGCUUUCCCUUUUGUAUAAAUUUCUAAAUUAAGAAUUGGAGAGGAAGAAAAAGACACGGCAUGUAGCAACUGAUUGCUUACUAAUAUAUACCGAUAAACAAAGAAAAGAAAGAAAAGGAAACAAGAAAAAAGAGGAACGAAACUAAAUCUUCUCACAGGACAAUUCUUGGAAACAAGAUCUCAUGCUAUCAUAUUACACAUGCUCAAGAUAAGGCGGAGCCAUUAAU